AUUGAACGCUGGCGGCAGGCCUAACACAUGCAAGUCGAGCGGAUGAUGGGAGCUUGCUCCUGGAUUCAGCGGCGGACGGGUGAGUAAUGCCUAGGAAUCUGCCUGGUAGUGGGGGACAACGUUUCGAAAGGAACGCUAAUACCGCAUACGUCCUGCGGGAGAAAGCAGGGGACCUUCGGGCCUUGCGCUAUCAGAUGAGCCUAGGUCGGAUUAGCUAGUUGGUGAGGUAAUGGCUCACCAAGGCGACGAUCCGUAACUGGUCUGAGAGGAUGAUCAGUCACACUGGAACUGAGACACGGUCCAGACUCCUACGGGAGGCAGCAGUGGGGAAUAUUGGACAAUGGGCGAAAGCCUGAUCCAGCCAUGCCGCGUGUGUGAAGAAGGUCUUCGGAUUGUAAAGCACUUUAAGUUGGGAGGAAGGGUUGUAGAUUAAUACUCUGCAAUUUUGACGUUACCGACAGAAUAAGCACCGGCUAACUCUGUGCCAGCCGCCGCCGUAAGAC
rnacentral:rRNA from 1 species